UACGUAGGGUGCGAGCGUUGUCCGGAAUUAUUGGGCGUAAAGCGCGCGCAGGCGGUCCUUUAAGUCUGAUGUGAAAGCCCACGGCUCAACCGUGGAGGGUCAUUGGAAACUGGGGGACUUGAGUACAGAAGAGAAGAGUGGAAUUCCACGUGUAGCGGUGAAAUGCGUAGAUAUCAGGAGGAAUACCGGUGGCGAAAGCGACUCUCUGGACGGCAACUGACGCUGAGGCACGAAAGCGUGGGGAGCAAACAGG
rnacentral:rRNA from 1 species